rnacentral:lncRNA from 1 species
AUCUUUUUUAGCUCACCUGGCCCACAGGGCCAAGUGAGCUUUUCUCAUCACUUGGCGUCCGGCGUCCGUCGUCGUCGUCGUCGUCGUCCUGCGUUAACUUUUACAAAAAUCUUCUCCUCUGAAACUACUGGGCCAAAUUUAACCAAACUUGGCAAUCAUCAUCAUUGGGGUAUCUAGUUUAAAAAAUAUGUCCGGUGCCCCGCCCAACCAACCAAGAUGGCCGCCAUGGCUAAAAAUAGAACAUAGGGGUAAAAUGCAGUUUUUGGCUUAUAACUCAAAAACCAAAGCAUUUAGAGCAAAUCUGACAAGGUAAAAUUGUUCAUCAGGUCAAGAUCUAUCUGCCCUAAAAUUUUCAGAUGAAUCGGACAUUCUGUUGUUGGGUUGCU